rnacentral:rRNA from 1 species
CUCAGAUUGAACGCUGGCGGCAUGCUUUACACAUGCAAGUCGAACGGUAACAGGUCUUCGGAUGCUGACGAGUGGCGAACGGGUGAGUAAUGCAUCGGGAACGUGCCCCAGUCGUGGGGGGAUAACGCAAGCGAAAGCUGUGCUAAUACCGCAUACGAUCUAUGGAUGAAAGCGGGGGGACCCGUAAGGCCUCGCGCGAUUGGAGCGGCCGAUGUCAGAUUAGCUAGUUGGUGGGGUAAAGGCCCACCAAGGCGACGAUCUGUAGCUGGGUCUGAGAGGACGACCAGCCACACUGGGACUGAGACACGGCCCAGACUCCUACGGGAGGCAGCAGUGGGGAAUUUUGGGACAAUGGGCGCAAGCCUGAUCCAGCAAUGCCGCGUGCAGGAAGAAGGCCUUCGGGUUGUAAACUGCUUUUGUACGGAACGAAAAGGUCCGGGUUAAUACCCUGGGCUCAUGACGGUACCGUAAGAAUAAGCACCGGCUAACUACGUG